CGCCGAACAUGCAUGCGUUUUGGAGGCACGUUAGGCCCCCGAAAGCAUGAGUUAGGGAAGUUCAGGUUCGGCCGCCGAAAGUCAAGUUCGGCCGCCGAACAUUUGCAUGGAUGCGGAGGCACAUUCGGCCCCCGAACGUGGCCUGGCCAGCCACUAUAUAAGGGGCACUUAGCCGAAAUGGGCGAGCUUUCUCCCAUUUUCGGCCACAACAAGCUUCCGACUUUCCCUUUGCAAACCUAGUGUUCUUCCUCCAAAUCCCCACCAUUUUUCUUGAGUUUUAAGCUUGCAUUGAAGGUUUUGAACUUUUGAAACAAGUUUUGGAGCUUUGGGAACUCAGGAGCUCAUCUUCUUGGAUCUCCAAGUUUAGGUCGUCUCCCUCUCGAUCUUCAAGAGGUAAGAGCCGAUC
rnacentral:lncRNA from 1 species